rnacentral:rRNA from 1 species
GCCAUUGCUAUCGGGGUCCGAUUUAGCCAUGCUAGUCGCACGGGUUCAGACCCGUGGCGAACAGCUCAGUAACACGUGGCCAAGCUACCCUGUGGACGCGGACAACCUCGGGAAACUGAGGCUAAUCCGCGAUACCGCUCCCAGGUUGGAGUGCCGGGAGCGUGAAACGUUCCGGCGCCACAGGAUGCGGCUGCGGCCGAUUAGGUAGACGGUGGGGUAACGGCCCACCGUGCCGAUAAUCGGUACGGGUGGUGAGAGCCAGAGCCCGGAGAUGGAAUCUGAGACAAGAUUCCAGGCCCUACGGGGCGCAGCAGGCGCGAAACCUUUACACUGCACGACAGUGCGAUAAGGGGACCCCGAGUGCGAGGGCAUACAGUCCUCGCUUUUGUGUACCGUAGGGAGGUACACGAAUAAGAGCUGGGCAAGACCGGUGCCAGCCGCCGCGGUAAUACCGGCAGCUCAAGUGAUGGCCGCUAUUAUUGGGCCUAAAGCGUCCGUAGCCGGCCGCACAAGUCCGUCGGGAAAUCCACCCGCCUAACGGGUGGGCGUCCGGCGGAAACUGUGCGGCUUGGGACCGGAAGACUCGAGGGUUACGUCCGGGGUAGGAGUGAAAUCCCGUAAUCCUGGACGGACCGCCGGUGGCGAAAGCGCCUCGAGAGGACGGAUCCGACGGUGAGGGACGAAAGCUAGGGUCUCGAACCGGAUUAGAUACCCGGGUAGUCCUAGCCGUAAACAAUGCUCGCUAGG